rnacentral:rRNA from 1 species
AUCGAACGCUGGCGGCAGGCCUAACACAUGCAAGUCGAACGAGUGGCGGAUGGGAGAGUAAUGUCUGGGAAACUGCCUGAUGGAGGGGGAUAACUAAUGGAAACGGUAGCUAAUACCGCAUAACAUCAGAUGUGCCCAGAUGGGAUUAGCUUGUUGGUGGGGUAACGGCUCACCAAGGCGACGAUCCCUAGCUGGUCUGUGAGGAUGACCGGCCAAACUGGAACUGAGACACGGUCCGUACUCCUACGGGAGGCGGCGGAGGGGAAUAUUGGACAAGGGGCGCAAGCCUGAUGCAGCCAUGCCGCGUGUAUGAAGAAGGCCUGCGGGUUGUAAAGUACUUUCAGCAGGGAGGCGUUACCCGCAGAAGAAGCACCGGCUAACUCCGUGCCAGCAGCCGCGGUAAUAC